UGCAUCGAUUGGAAGAACGCAGCGAAAUGCGAUACUGUAGUGUGAAUUGCAGAAUUCCGCGAAUCAUCGAGUCUUUGAACGCAAGUUGCGCCCGAGGCUUGUCCGAGGGCAUUUCCGCUAGAGCGUCACCGCGCCCCCCACCGAUCCACUCUCGCCGCGAGGCGCAAGUCGGGUCGAGUGCAAGUGGCCGUCCCGGCGAAGUGGCCUUCUUUCACGAGAAGGCCGUUCUUGGAAGGGUCGGCUGAAAUGGAUGGAAUCGAGCCGCCGUGGUGACACAGUCCGCGAUCGGGUGAUUUUGUCGCGAGCCUCCUCCGGGAGGCUCUUGGUGAAUUUUUCUAAGUGCUUGGCUGCGUCUCCCAGUUGGCUUUGGUUACCUCAUGCAGGUCGAGCGCGCCCCCGCGGCGCGCGUCACGCAUCAGACCUCUAAUCGGAAA
rnacentral:rRNA from 1 species